rnacentral:piRNA from 1 species
GGAUGACCCUGAUGGCAACGGUGCGCU